rnacentral:lncRNA from 1 species
UCAUGUAAUCAGUUACAUAAUAAGUAAAUAAAAUACAUAGUUGUAUAGUGACAUUUAGAAAAGUGUUAACUUUCAGCGAAAUGUAGUCCACAACUAAUAGUAUCGAUAUUGUCAUUUUUAAUACCCAUACAAUCAAUAGGUGUGAAGUUUUUAUACAAAAUGUUUUAAUAUAAUUAAAACUAAAACUGCUUAAUAUAAAUUGUUUUUGUUUUGUAAAACGAGAGACUUUUGUACUUUAUUCAACAAAAUUUCUCCUACAAAAACAGCCAUGCAAUUUGGAUAGACUGUUAAAUCCAAUUUGAUUGCGCAUAUAGUCUUUCUUGUUGCUUUUUCCCUUUUUCUUCCGGAUGUUAUUCUAUCAAAUGUCUAUAGUGUUGUAAUCAUUUUUUUACGAGUACAAGAUCCUCUCCGCAUCCAAAAAAAGGGAGCUUAGGUACCGUUUGAUACGUGGAACG